CGAAUGCUGACAUAAGUAACGAUAAAGCGGGUGAAAAGCCCGCUCGCCGGAAGACCAAGGGUUCCUGUCCAACGUUAAUCGGGGCAGGGUGAGUCGACCCCUAAGGCGAGGCCGAAAGGCGUAGUCGAUGGGAAACAGGUUAAUAUUCCUGUACUUGGUGUUACUGCGAAGGGGGGACGGAGAAGGCUAUGUUGGCCGGGCGACGGUUGUCCCGGUUUAAGCGUGUAGGCUGGUUUUCCAGGCAAAUCCGGAAAAUCAAGGCUGAGG
rnacentral:rRNA from 1 species